ACGUAGGAGGCAAGCGUUAUCCGGAGUUACUGGGCGUAAAGGGCGUGCAGGCGGUUGGCUAAGUUCGUUGUGAAAGCGCCCAGGCUUAACCGGGCGAGGACAAUGAAGACUGGUCAGCUAGAGGACGGUAGAGGGGGAUGGAAUUCCGCGUGUAGCAGUGAAAUGCGUAGAUAUGCGGAGGAACACCAAUGGCGAAGGCAAUCCCCUGGGCCUGUACUGACGCUCAGACGCGAAGGCAUGGGGAGCGAACGG
rnacentral:rRNA from 1 species